AUUGAACGCUGGCGGCAUGCCUUACACAUGCAAGUCGAACGGUAACGCGGGGCAACCUGGCGACGAGUGGCGAACGGGUGAGUAAUGUAUCGGAACGUGCCCAGUUGUGGGGGAUAACUGCUCGAAAGAGCAGCUAAUACCGCAUACGACCUGAGGGUGAAAGCGGGGGAUCGCAAGACCUCGCGCAAUUGGAGCGGCCGAUAUCAGAUUAGGUAGUUGGUGAGGUAAAGGCUCACCGAGCCGACGAUCUGUAGCUGGUCUGAGAGGACGACCAGCCACACUGGGACUGAGACACGGCCCAGACUCCUACGGGAGGCAGCAGUGGGGAAUUUUGGACAAUGGACGCAAGUCUGAUCCAGCCAUGCCGCGUGCGGGAAGAAGGCCUUCGGGUUGUAAACCGCUUUUGUCAGGGAAGAAAUCUUUUGAGUUAAUACCUCGGAAGGAUGACGGUACCAGAAGAAUAAGCACCGGCUAACUACGUGCCAGCCGCCGCCGUAAAAC
rnacentral:rRNA from 1 species